AUCUCCUCUCUCCCAACCCAUCCCGAUCCCCUCUCACAGCGAGACUCUCCCCGACCCCGUGGCGAUUCCCUCUGACAGCGAGACUCUCCCCGUCCUCUUCUCUCGACCUAGGGAAUCCAUGCCAUGAUCACCUCCACCAUGCGAGACUCUCCCCGACCUCUUCUCUCGACCUAGGGCAUCCAUGCCAUGAUCACCUCCACCAUGCGAGACUCUCCCCGACCUCUUCUCUCGACCUAGGGCAUCCAUGCCAUGAUCACCUCCACCAAUCGCAGCGGCAUCGCUCGCCAUUUCUGAGGUUUACUUGCUCCAAAACAAGGUUCGUGAGUUGUGUUGAAGAUGGAUCUAACUUCAAAUGAAUUCUUGCCCGGCAACUGAUGCAAUUCGAAAGGAAAAGUUGUUUGAAGAGCUUUUGAAGGUUGAGGGACUCGUCGAUAAGGAUCGUAUGAUUGCUUACGAUAUCUUAACAUGAUACAACCAAACUAACUGGAUUUUACGGAAUUCCGUCAGAGUUUAGAAAGGAAUAUAUUGAGUAUAUUCUAACUACACGUAGAUAAAGUUGUUUUAUAUUUUGCAAUGACUAGAGGAUGUCAAACUUUGGUAUUUUGUUUUUGUUUUCAAUGUCUAUGAAGCGUUGAACUUAUUUGUUGUUUACUUUCUAUGAUAGAUGUUGCUUUCUUGUUUGGACUUGUUAUGGAUAUUUGAUGUUGCUUAUAAAUUUUUAUUUUUGAACAA